rnacentral:lncRNA from 1 species
UGAAGUUACAUGAAUAUUGUGAAUAUCAUGAUAUGAUUUGUGCGAUUUAGGAUUCACCACAUUUAGCCAAAAGCCUACCCCCUUAUGUUUCCAUUAGUUAGCCAGUUUUGAGCCUCAACCUUUUCUUCAUAAUCUACUCCUAUACACUUCAAUUACACUAUUAUUUACAUUUAUCUUUCCUCUACCCUUAUGCUGGAAUUUCUUUUUGUGAUUUGCU